rnacentral:tRNA from 1 species
GGCGAGAUAGCUCAACUGGUCAGAGCGUGAUACUCAUAAUAUCAAGGUUGGGUGUUCGAGUCACCUUCUCGCCA